AAUACCCGACUCCCCCUUACCACCAUCAGCAAAGCACAAGAACUCUCAGUCGCUAACACCUGCUGCUGCUGCUAUUGUUGUUGUUGUUGUUAUUGUGGUGGUGGUGGUAGUAGGUAGUAAUAGUAGUGGUAGUGGUGGUGGUGGUGGUGGUAGUAGUAGCAGUAGUAGUAGUAGUAGUAGUAGUAGAAGAUAAGUAAGCAGUUGAAGUGGUAGCGGUGAUGGUAUUGUUAUUAUCCUUAGUAGUAGUAGUAGUAAUAGUUCCAUGUCAAAUAAUCAAAAUCAGUACUAAGGGAGGGGGACAAUCCAGGAUUAUAAAAGUCUGUCUAGAAUAUUCAUUGGUUUUCCUUCCUUUGAUAAACAAGGUCAUUGAACCGAGACACUUGAGCCAAAGGAGGUGUGUGUGUGUGUGUGUGUGUAUGUGUGUGUGUGUGUGUGUGUGUGUGUGUGAAAGAAGAGAGAGGAUGUAAGGUACAACUGAAGGAUGACAUGACUGGAAAAUGUAAACAGAUAGUGGAGAGGCGAGUUAGGUUAUGAGAAGAUAGGUAGGUAAGAUUAGGUGUGAAGAUACGUGGGUGAGGUGUGAUGACAGGAAGGUUAGGUGUGAUGAUAGGCAAGUUAAGUGUGAAGAUGGGUAGAUUAGGUGUGAUGAUAAGUAGGUUAAAUGUGAAGAUAGGUAAGUUAGGUUAGAUAUGAAGAUUGAUAAGUUGGGUUAGAUGCAAAGAAAUAGGAGAGGUAAGUUAGGUUAUAUAUGAAGAAAGACGUUAGGUUAGGUUAGAUGUGAAGAUAGAUAAGUUAGGUUAGGUGUGAAGAUAGAUAAGUUAGGUUAGGUGUGAAGAUAGAUAAGUUAGGUUAGGUGUGAAGAUAGAUAAGUUAGGUUAGGUGUGAAGAUAGAUAAGUUAGGUUAGGUGUGAAGAUAGAUAAGUUAGGUUAGGUGUGAAGAUAAGGAAGUUAGGUUAGAUGCGAAGGGAGGUAAGGAGAUGGCCCGUCCCACCCAUUUCCUUCAAUCUAAACUCCACCACCACACCUGUCAACACCCAAACACCAAUCACCACCACCACCACACUCACCAUGAACACACCUGGGGCCGGAUUCAGAAAGCAUUUACAACGAUGUUAAGUCCGAGAUACAUCCUUCCGUACUUACAUCGGGAUUCAGAAAACAGAAAAACCGAUGUUGAGGAGGAUGUAACUCGGUUGUAAGUUACGCCAGCCUCGGAUGUGGCGUAACACUUGCAUCCUUUUUCAAUUUUCAAGAAAUAUUUUAUAUAUAAUGUUUCCCGAUAAAGAAAUAAGAGCAUAUGAGUCAAUAAAGCAAAAUCCUUCCAUAAAAGCGAGAUGCUACAGCGGGGAUGGAAUAUAUCUUGUAGAGUUCACUAUAGCCGUCAGUCCGUCAACGGCUGAAAAAGAGGAAAAACUGGUGUUCGUCUUUUGACCUAUACCGCUUUGUAUCGCUUCUUAGGUCCUCCUUGGUUCUUCACACUCAAAUACUUAACCCGGUAGCUGCGGGGAUCAUGUUUCUUUAAGGCCCCUCUAAGCGAAUUAAUGAGAAAAAAAAUCAUCGCUCUCGCAAACCACUUUAUAAUAGGUAUAUAUCAACGCAUUUGUGAUCAGUUUAUGCAUCAUCUAUUUUUGGGGUUUAUAUCAUGGCAAAAAUGUGACCCGUUGCUGGUUCACGGUAAAGCCACAAAUUUGGCCCGUCGCUGCUACCGGGUUAACUAUACACACUUAGAUACUUCACUCUACUCUGAGCUCUGUUGGUCAACUGUCACUACUGCAUAAUAACCUUUAAUUAAUUAGACGAUGAAACUAAUGAAGGACAGUGUUUUUUUCCCCACUUAAUUCCUCUUCUUGAGCAAAUAAAAAAAAAUAACCAUUUUUUUCAUUUAAUUCCUAGAGCGAAUAAUAAUCAGCACGAAUUUUUUUUUCUUGAUUUCUCGUCUCGGAAAUAAAAAUCAGAAACAUUCAUAAUAACCUCUUUUUCCCCCAUUUUCCUUAAUCGUCAAAGCGUUUUAGACUGCGUAGCUAAUGCGUGACCUUCAACUGUAUAAGGAGUUUUUUUUUCCUUAUGUAUCUUUCUAUCUAUCAAUUUUCCUUGAGCUACAUCCUUUAGUGUGAAGAAAAAAGGAAAACUCGUGGCAAUCAAAACUUCCGUCACUACAUCGCGUUUAGCUUCUUGGGAGGAAUGCUACGAGUGUACAUAUUUCUUUACUUGAGCUAAAGAAAAAUUACUCACCGAAAAAAUAUUCCACACUGUAUACUAGGUUGCGGUGUGUGUGUGUGUGUGUGUGUGUGUGUGUGUGUGUGUACAAAUGGCAGGCAACACUCACACUACACUCACUUCAUCAUUUUUUUUCUUCGAGGGAGGAACACUAUCACGUUUUUCUUUUAUUUGUACAUAUAUUUAUUUCCUUGAGCUACAUCCUUGACUAAAAAAAAAAAAGCAACACACUACACCCACUUCAUCAAUUUUUUCUUCGAGGGAGGAACACUAUCACGCUUUUCUUUUAUUUGUACAUGUAUUUAUUUCCUUGAGCUACAUGCCUGACUAAACAGAACUACAACUCGUGGCAGGCAACACUUACAUCACUGCUAAACAAGUCCCCGAAUCCCGCCCUGGAGCACACGGGUUAAGACUUACUAAGGUCGGUACUCUUAGAAGUUUCCAUCCCUUAUAUCAACUAUUUCCAAAGGCCAAAAAAGAGAUCAGUCGGGUUCUUAUGAGUAGUAUUUUCGGUUCAUUGUACAGCAGAAGGCUCAACUACCACUAGGGUCAUAAAAGUACCCUUGGAAAUGCCUACAACUCCUGCGAAAGCCUUGUUAAAUAUGUGUGCUUGGGCGGCGCAAUGUUUAAGAGUACGACCGUAUUACUCACGCGGAUAAGAUAAAGGGAGGGAAGGGGAAGAGGUAGGAAGGAAGGGAGGGUAAGGGUGUGAGCUGCCGGUUGGAUGUUACCUCCCUGCCCAGACAACCCACUUCGCCCUCAGCCAUUACCGCCCCAUCACCACCAUUACCAUCCUCAAUAAGAACAGCAGGAACAUCAUCAUCUUAGCUAUCGUCACCGGCAUAAGAAGGGCAUGUAUUACACCUUCACCAUCAUCCAAUUUACCAUUCUCCCGAAAUUAACCUUUCUAUUGGCCACUUUUUUUUUAUUUUUUAUAUACGGGUAGUGAUUAGCGGGCUUUUCUUUGAUCCCAUAUUAUUUUUUUUUGUCCUUGAGCCGCUUCCAUUACCGUGAAACAAAAACAACAUGAUAUUUAAGACAGAAGACCUAAAACAACAACAUAACAUUUGAGACAUAAGACCUUUCAACACCAUCAUUACAACAAAAAAAUUAACUUCAUCACUAACAUCGUCCAAGAAAUUCGCUUAUUCGUGACCAACACCAUCCCUAUCAUCUUUAGCAAGUUAUCAAUAUCAUUCCUAUCACCACCAUUAUCAUCAUAAGCAGACGGUAGAGAAAGUAAAGUAUAAUAUUCAUCACCCAAUAAAUCCUCUUCAUCGCUAUUUACAGUAUCAAUAUCUUAUCUAGGUAAGGUAAGGUUGGGUGCAUUGGCUACAGCUGAGUGUGGCUGUGGUGCUCAUCUCUGUCACAUAGAAGGCUCUUUAAUUAGGCCUGGGGUGGAAAGAACCCAUAUCGCCAUCCAUGCAAUCAUCAUACCAGUCAAAGGCAAGAGGAGACGCAGUUUACAGCAUUCAGCAGAGCACGACCCGUAGUUAUUACCAAGACAGCACACACUACCGGCCGCUUUCAGUCAUUUUGCUUGUUUUGAUCGUUACCAAUGGCGGCGAUCUAUAGUAUUUCCACGUAAUAAUGACCGAUAGGGUAGUGGCGGCUGCGGGGUUAGCCUAGCCCUGCACCUUGCCACACUCUCAACACCUCUCGCUUCCUCUGCAGCCACCACUACCCCUUAGGCCAGUUUCACGUGGAAAACUAUAGCGUCGAUCGCCGCCAUUGCUAACGAUCAAAACAAACAAAGUGACUGUGAAAGCGGCCCUAAAUCGUCACUCAAGGGUUGCGAGAGAUGAGGAGGAGUAUAAGUAACGCAAGUAGGAGCAGGACUACGAGAAUAAGGGUAGAAAUAGGAGUAGCAGGAUGAAGUAUUAGUAUGAGUAGGUAACCCGCAAACGAAGUGUACAUUUUUGAACCACCACUAACAUCGAGAGAGAGAGAGAGAGAGAGAGAGCAGUGUAAGCAAGAUAUUAGAGGAUGACGUAGCAGCUUCAAGUAUAUAUAACAGAUAUCGGAUCAACAGAAGAAGUAAGAGAAGUGGAGGAUUGUAACAGAUCCAAAAGAAACGAGACAAAGAAAAAAAUAACAUGUAAGAGGAGAGCGUGACCGGCAACAGAUGUAACAGAAGUUGUGAACAGAAGGACGUUUGGAAGAUUACGAAGAAACAGGAGGAUAAGUGGGAGGGGAAGGAGGGGGAGGUAGUGAACUGAAGAUAGGACUAGGAGAUGAAUGGGUUGACAGAGGGAGAAGAGACGUAGUAGAUAUAACAGAACAAACACGGAGGAGAAGAGGAGGAGGAGGCA